UACGUAGGGUGCGAGCGUUGUCCGGAAUUAUUGGGCGUAAAGGGCUCGUAGGCGGUUUGUCGCGUCGGGAGUGAAAACUCAGGGCUUAACCCUGAGCCUGCUUCCGAUACGGGCAGACUAGAGGUAUGCAGGGGAGAACGGAAUUCCUGGUGUAGUGGUGAAAUGCGCAGAUAUCAGGAGGAACACCGGUGGCGAAGGCGGUUCUCUGGGCAUUACCUGACGCUGAGGAGCGAAAGUGUGGGGAGCGAACAGG
rnacentral:rRNA from 1 species